rnacentral:rRNA from 1 species
CUCCAGACUCCUACGGGAGGCAGCAGUGGGGAAUAUUGGGCAAUGGGCGCAAGCCUGACCCAGCAACGCCGCGUGAAGGAAGAAGGCUUUCGGGUUGUAAACUUCUUUUAAGAGGGAAGAGAAGAAGACGGUACCUCUUGAAUAAGCCACGGCUAACUACGUGCCAGCAGCCGCGGUAAUACGUAGGUGGCAAGCGUUGUCCGGAUUUACUGGGUGUAAAGGGCGUGCAGCCGGGCUGACAAGUCAGAUGUGAAAUCCCGCGGCUCAACCGCGGAACUGCAUUUGAAACUGUCAGUCUUGAGUACCGGAGAGGUCAUCGGAAUUCCUUGUGUAGCGGUGAAAUGCGUAGAUAUAAGGAGGAACACCGGCGGCGAAGGCGGCCUGCUGGACCGUGACUGACGUUGAGGCUCGAGAGCGUGGGGAGCAAACAGGAUUAGAUACCCCGGUAA